AUUGAACGCUGGCGGCAGGCUUAACACAUGCAAGUCGAGCGGUAGCACAGGGGAGCUUGCUCCCUGGGUGACGAGCGGCGGACGGGUGAGUAAUGUCUGGGAAACUGCCUGAUGGAGGGGGAUAACUACUGGAAACGGUAGCUAAUACCGCAUAACGUCGCAAGACCAAAGAGGGGGACCUUCGGGCCUCUUGCCAUCAGAUGUGCCCAGAUGGGAUUAGCUAGUAGGUGGGGUAAUGGCUCACCUAGGCGACGAUCCCUAGCUGGUCUGAGAGGAUGACCAGCCACACUGGAACUGAGACACGGUCCAGACUCCUACGGGAGGCAGCAGUGGGGAAUAUUGCACAAUGGGCGCAAGCCUGAUGCAGCCAUGCCGCGUGUGUGAAGAAGGCCUUCGGGUUGUAAAGCACUUUCAGCGAGGAGGAAGGUGGUAAGCUUAAUACGUUCAUCAAUUGACGUUACUCGCAGAAGAAGCACCGGCUAACUCCGUG
rnacentral:rRNA from 1 species